GAAACAAGAAGUAAUAAAAACGGAAAAGCACCACACUCUGCCUGACGCAAUUGUGAUGAUUUUAAUGAGCAUUUUUGGUCACUUCAUUGUUUUGAACUUGGCUGGACAUGGCGCAAAAGCUCACCCUUUUUUCAAAAGCCAGAACUCUCGAAGAAUAUGCUUAAAUCAGGCAGAAGUAAACAUCGAGGGAAAACUUCGUUUGUUGAGCACCGAACUUUUCUUCAUCUCUAUCAUAGCUUUCAUCACCUAUGGAUAUUCCUUGCGAUGAUGUUCCAGGGACUUGCCAAUAUCGCAUUCAAUGAUGAAAAACUUAAUGGGAAGA